UACGAAGGGGGCAAGCGUUGCUCGGAAUCACUGGGCGUAAAGCGCACGUAGGCGGGUCGUUAAGUCAGAGGUGAAAGCCUGGAGCUCAACUCCAGAACUGCCUUUGAUACUGGCGACCUAGAGUUCGAGAGAGGUUGGUGGAACUGCGAGUGUAGAGGUGAAAUUCGUAGAUAUUCGCAAGAACACCAGUGGCGAAGGCGGCCAACUGGCUCGAUACUGACGCUGAGGUGCGAAAGCGUGGGGAGCAAACAGG
rnacentral:rRNA from 1 species